UACGAAGGGGGCUAGCGUUGUUCGGAAUUACUGGGCGUAAAGCGCGCGCAGGCGGUUCUUCAAGUCAGAGGUGAAAGCCCAGGGCUCAACCCUGGAAUGGCCUUUGAGACUAGAGAACUAGGGUACGGGAGAGGUGAGUGGAAUUCCGAGUGUAGAGGUGAAAUUCGUAGAUAUUCGGAAGAACACCAGUGGCGAAGGCGGCUCACUGGCCCGUUACCGACGCUGAGGCGCGAAGGCGUGGGGAGCGAACGGG
rnacentral:rRNA from 1 species